GAUGAACGCUAGCGAUAGGCUUAACACAUGCAAGUCGAGGGGCAGCACAAGGUAGCUUGCUAUCUGGGUGGCGACCGGCGCACGGGUGCGUAACGCGUAUGCAACUUGCCCUAUACAGGAGGAUAACCCGUCGAAAGACGGACUAAUACUGCGUAUGCUCACAACUUGGCAUCAGGUGGCGAGGAAAGAAAUUCGGUAUAGGAUAGGCAUGCGUCCCAUUAGCUUGUUGGUGAGGUAACGGCUCACCAAGGCAACGAUGGGUAGGGGAACUGAGAGGUUUAUCCCCCACACUGGUACUGAGACACGGACCAGACUCCUACGGGAGGCAGCAGUGAGGAAUAUUGGUCAAUGGGCGCGAGCCUGAACCAGCCAAGUCGCGUGAAGGAUGACUGUCUUAUGGAUUGUAAACUUCUUUUAUACGGGAAUAACAAGAGUCACGUGUGACUCCCUGCAUGUACCGUAUGAAUAAGCAUCGGCUAACUCCGUG
rnacentral:rRNA from 1 species